GUUUGGCAAUACACAUACUAUAAAGUUGGAAUGAUACAGAGAAGACUCACCAAGCCUUUUGCACAAGGAUGACAUGCAAAAUCAUGAAGCAUUCCAUAACAUC